UUUUUUUUUUUUUUUUUUCAGUUUUCAGACCCAGCCAAGGUCCCUAAAAUGGGCGAGGAAAACCUUUGCUUACACAGGCCUCUCCCCAGCAUCUGGUGGCCGCUGGUGACCUUUGUCCUUCCUUGGCACGUAGAAGCAGCACCUCGAUUCCCCCUUCAGGAGCCGUGUUCUCCCCGCGUGUGCAUCCAUCCUGGCUCCAACUUUCCUCUUUCUAUAAGGACGCCAAUCAUACUGGACUAGGACCUGCCCUACAAUGUCAUCUCAAUUUGGUCAUCUGCAAAGUCCCUAUUUCGAAUAAGGUCUGUCAUCCUAAACGCAGGGAGAGGCUCUCUAAGAGGAGAGGUGCUGAUCUGAGAGCUGAGCGUGGCCGUGGCACCCACACGCCACAGCAGACUCUGCGCGUCUGGGGAGGAAGGGAAGACCAAGGCUUGAGGGAAGCCAUCAGAGGAUGAGGCAAUGCUUUGAAAUGAUUCUCCUCGGCUACAAGGAUGGAUAAGGGUGUCGCUGAUCUGAGGCUGGCCAGGCCGUGCUGGGCCGACAUCCUUGCAGAGUGCUGCUUGUGCCAGGCUGCGGGUUUUGUAGUGUUUUUCAUGACGAGGCAUACAAGCACGAGGACCGUCUCCUCAUGGCCUUCCCCGCUCUGUUCAGCAGUUUUCUUAACAUUUGUGACCGCACUGUGGCUCUGUCAACAUUCACAGGUCACAUUCUCGGACACCGGGUGUGGGACUCGAUCACAGGAAUCUCAGGGGACAAGCAAAGCCCAGGGUGGAGGGAUGUGGAAGCAGGAGCAGAGCAGAGUCAGGGGAGCCCUGGCAGAGGCGCUGGGAAGCGGGUGUUGGACCGGGACGGGCCCCACACAGGCUGCUCUCCUCCUGGCAGGGAUCCCUGGGCCUGGGAGGACUCCUCCUGUCCACCUCUCUGUCCCAGCUCUUUUCCUUAAAAGGACACAGGCAUGAUCCUGGUGAGACAGCCCAUGCCCGGCACACUGCCUGUGGGGGCAACAAGCUCCAGUGAGGGGGUGAAACCCACCACAGAGAGCACAAGCCCCAGACUUAACACCAGACGCCUGCCCUGAGCACGGCCGCCAUGCGGGCCCCAGACUAUAGCAGGACCGUUUACAUCCUGACAGGGCUUUGCUACUUAUGACAUUCUAGUGCCAAAAGUGCAGAGAGCCUGUGAGAGAAGGGGCCGUCCUGGAGGAGCUGUGGAAACCACUCCUUGUCUGCAGCUCCCCCUGCUUCUGGGGAGGGGAGGCGUCACCCCUUGCAUUCCUUCCUGUGCUGGGGUCAGCUCGAUGCAGCCUAGGGGCUUCCGGAGGGGAAGGGAGAGGGAGCGAGGCCGCCCCUGGGCUCUGCCUGGCGGUCAUGGUCCCUUCCAGGGCUCACUGGGGUUCUGUGGCGGGGCUGCCCGCCCGACCACAAAUUCACCCAUUCACAGGAAGACCCGACCUAACCCCCUGCA
rnacentral:lncRNA from 1 species